rnacentral:lncRNA from 1 species
UUUUUAAGGUUGUUGAAACUUUUUUACACUUUAUAAAUAUAUAUUUGCACAAUUCAAAACAUAUUUCACAAUAUAACUAUAAUGUUAACAAAAAUUGCGAUAUUUCGUCUUUUAAAAUGAAAAAAAAAAAAAAUUCAAAGAAGAUUUGGACAAAUUACUGGCCCUCCUUAGAACUCAACUCUUCCUUUAAGGGAGCAUAAUUAUUUCGUAGGCCUGUGAACAUUUUAAGGGAGCAUAAAUAUAUCGUAUAGGCCUGUGAACAUUUAAUCAAGAAUUAAGAAUGUUUUAAUUUUAUCUUUAAAUGAAAUGACUAUCGAUUUUGAAUAUUUCAAGUAAAAAAGUAUGUAAUUAGCAAAAGAAUUAGCUUACUACUAUAGUGUUAUAGUGACUAGAACUUAUCCAAUUGGAUGUAAUUGUAACAAUUUUCCCCAUAAUAAAUACAAAGGUGAAAGGGUACUCUUCAAAAAUGUUGAAUCAUAAUGAAACACAACUAAAUGUGUGCUGCCAUCUAGUGGUAGAAAGCGAAUAGGCCAACCGGUAGUUUAUUUUCAAAUUCAAAUCUUCACUCAGACUCUGUGAUGAUCAGCUCAACGGCGCAUAUUUCAAUCAUUACUUUGCCAUUUCGCCAGACUUGUCUUCCUGUAAAACCCACAGUAUGGGUAAUAAGGGGUAGAUUUACACCAGGAAAGGACAAUUUCAAGAGUAAUUCCAGGGCAAGAAUUGAAAGAACAAAAUGAAAGGAUCGAAUUUAUUACCAAGAUUAGGCCUACAGUCCCACACUAGCACUCUUGUGUUGGAGAAAUACGAUCAACUUGCUUUGCACUACAUGCACUGGACUGCUACUGCUAGCUGCUGGAGCUACUUUAAAGAUCUUCAUUUUGAAGGGUAUCUUAGCUUCGGCUGCUGGAAAGUCAUCAACUUGGACUGUGUGGCACUGGCACCCUUGUCUUCUAGAGUACAUGUACAUACAGUCUUAAUUUGUUAGACUGAACUGUCCAACACACAUCAAGGAAAUGCAAGACAUGGGUGAAAGUAUUAGAAUCAUACAUGGUUAAUGACUUAUUGUUCAUCUGUAAUUAAUGGAAAGCAUUUCAAAAUGAUGCCAAUAAUGCCGUCCAACAAACAUUCAGCAAGUACUUCCAGGU